rnacentral:rRNA from 1 species
AUUAGCUAGUUGGUGAGAUAACAGCCCACCAAUGCUACGAUGGGUAGCCGUCCUGAGAGGGUGAACGGCCACACUGGGACUGAGAUACGGCCCAGAGUCCUACGGGAGGCAGCAGUAGGGAAUAUUGCGCAAUGCCCGAAAGGGUGACGCAGCGACGCCGCGUGGGUGAUGAAGCUUCUUGGAGCGUAAAGCCCUUUCAGAAGGGAAGAACCGCAUGGAGGUGAACCUCCGUGCCUGACGGUACCUUCAGAAGAAGCUCCGGCUAACUCCGUGCCAGCAGCCGCGGUAAUACGGAGGGAGCAAGCGUUGUUCGGAAUCACUGGGCGUAAAGGGCGCGUAGGCCGACCGGUGAGUCAGGUGUGAAAACCCGGGGGCUUAACCCCCGGGCCUGCACUUGAUACUAUCGGUCUUGAGUACGAGAGAGGAAAGCGGAAUUCCAGGUGUAGCGGUGAAAUGCGUAGAUAUCUGGGAGAACACCGGUGGCGAAGGCGGCUUUCUGGCUCGAUACUGACGCUGAUGCGCGAAGGCUAGGGGAGCAAACAGGAUUAGAUACCCUGGUAGUCCUAGCGGUAAACGAUGGGCACUAGGUGUUGGAGGACUUACCCCUUCAGUGCCGCAGCUAACGCAUUAAGUGCCCCGCCUGGGGAGUACGAUCGCAAGAUUGAAACUCAAAGGAAUUGACGGGGCCCCGCACAAGCAGUGGAGUAUGUGGUUUAAUUCGAUGCAACGCGAAGAACCUUACCUGGGCUUGACAUCAACUGGAAAGCCAUAGAGAUAUGGCCCCCUCUUCGGAGGUCGGUUGACAGGUGCUGCAUGGCUGUCGUCAGCUCGUGCCGUGAGGUGUUGGGUUAAGUCCCGCAACGAGCGCAACCCCUGUCCAUAGUUACCAGCGGUUCGGCCGGGCACUCUAUGGAGACUGCCUCGGUUAACGAGGAGGAAGGUGGGGAUGACGUCAAGUCCUCAUGGCCCUUACGUCCAGGGCUACACACGUACUACAAUGGCCGGUACAAAGGGUUGCAAUGCCGCAAGGUGGAGCCAAUCCCUAAAGCCGGUCCCAGUUCGGAUUGGAGUCUGCAACUCGACUCCAUGAAGGUGGAAUUGCUAGUAAUCGCGAAUCAGCACCUCCCGGUGAAUACGUUCCCGGGGCUUGUACACACCGCCCGUCAAGCCACGGAAGUCGGGGUACCCGAAGUCGUUACCCAACCGUAAGGAGGGAGACGCCGAAG